UUGUUUGAUUACUGUGGCUUUUCUUUACCUACAACCCAAGCCUGACGUCCCUCGGUUUUAAAUAGCAGGGAGAGGGGAAUCAAUGUUUGAUUCAGGUGUUUCGAAGACCACGCCACAGGCGAUGAGCAGAACUCUUCAUGUUGAAACGGUUCUGCUACAGUACUAGAUUGCUCUCAGGCGAUUUGGGGUUGAUACAGGCAAGCCGGUGCAAAACUGGAAUACUGGAUAUGAAGUGAAAUGUAUAAAAGACAUAAAAUGUCACAAAAUAGUUUGAUCACAAGUGUUGAUUUUCCUGGUGAGUUGGGGCUGCGUGUUUCCAUGUUUUCUGAAGGUUCACAUAAACAUGCAGCCUGCCAAUUCUCUGUACAUUUUUUUUUUCAAUGAGUGGUAUUUCGGUUUUCACGUUUAGUUGUAAGACAGAAAUUGGAGACUUAUAUGUAGCUGGAGUGGAUGACUUCUUUCUUUUGGGGGAAGAAUGAGAGAUGCACAUUUCGUUAGUAAAUUGUGAACAACUUGAAACAAACCCAAAUCCAAUUUUGAAUUUAAGAAGUAGAGUUAAAAUGAAAGGUAGCCAUUCAAAUACUAUGCCUUGCUGCCUUCACUUAUUAAGUUAGGAUUUUCUUCCUUUUAGCCCUUUAGGGAUACAGUAGUUUAAAAGAGCAGUAGCCACAUAUGAAAGGAUCAGAUUUAGCUUAGAGGGAAUUCCUUAGACCAGCCCUGCUGUUAAGACUUGACAUUCAAUAUUGUUUGAUCACAUUCCAAAAUAUAGCUUAGCUAAUGGCAACAUUUGUAAACAUAUAAAUUGCAAAAGAAGCUUUCUUGUGUACAUACAUUUUUAAAAGCUUGAAAUUGAUGUGAACUUUUAAAAACACGUAGGAUCUGUAUUACAUUCUACAUCUCAAAACAAAUUUAAUUAAAGUGAAUAUCAUUCCAGUAUAUACAAUAUGCCUAAGACCCAGAAUUGGCACAUUGAUUUAUUAGUUGAAAAUAUAACAGUAUUCACCAAACUUCAAUGUAUACUUUUUGGAGAGAAUGAAAUUACAGUAUUUCUUAAUUUACUGUAAUGUCAUCUUUGUAAUUAUGAAUUAACAAUUCAAUGAGAGGAGACUUGGUUGAUUAAAUUAAUGCUGGUCCUACACAUUAUAUCUAAAGGAUCUUCGUAUAUGACUACUAUCCUCUUGGAUUAUUUUAACAGUUAAAAUAUACAAAGUGGCCCAUUAAAAACAGAGUUGACUUUUCACCAUUGCUGUUUUUCUGGUGAGACAUGUGGAAAGGAAGGACAGGUGGACUUUUCAACUAACUAGCUCUCUGAUUUUUAAUAAGAUACCUCAGUUCUUUUGGCCUCAGUUUACUUCUGUACAAAGGGUAAGUCAUAUGCUUAAUCACUAAGGUCUGUUAGAUACUGCAGUUAAGAUUCUUUAUCAGCAAAUUACUGAACUCUAUUGUUAACAUAGCUAGAGGUGGAAAAGGGAGCAAGACCAGGUGUUGGGAUGAAUAAUUAACUAAUCGAGAUAACAUCAGUUUUCACCAUAGGAACAAGUACCAUGGUUGCUCUUAAAGUAAGAGAUGUUUCCUAUUUUAUGUAAUUUUACUAAGGGAUAGUGUUUUCUUUUGUCACUGACUUAAAUGUACCUGGAUGUUUCUCAGCCAUUUGGCUAAGAUCGAACACAAGUAAUACCUGGGCCUUUUAUAUCUAAUCUAAUGUAGACCAGCCUGUUAAAAGAGAAAGACAAUUGGUUAAACUGCUGAUGUGUUGCUUUGUCUUCUCAAAAGCUUGUUCUAUAAUACAAUAUGUAAAAAGUUGUUACAGUGUAGUAACUGUAGAUAAUCCCUUUAUGAUUUGUACCUAAUGGCGAAGACCUUUUAUUUUCUGAAAAUAACGUGUUUGUUUUCAUUACCAACAUUAGAAGCCAAUAUUUAUUAAUCUAUUUCUCAUCCUGACAUUUCAGUCAGACUCUUAAAAUAAUCUUGCUGUGUUUUGAUUUAAUGUGCUUAUCAACUUAGAAUAUUGAAUUAAUGUUAAUAGUGUCAUUUUAGGUGAACUAGACUUCAUUGAAGGAGGUGGGAGCCUUAUGGAGAGAGAGUAUAUGAUUAUCUCUAUUUGUAUUUAAUUACCAUUUCAUCUAACCAUUCAGAACAUAUUUCAAGAAUAAUUUUAAUUCAAGUUGUAGGUAAAACUUACUAUACCAUUUUCAUUUUGACGCUUUCCAAGAAUGAGAUACACGGUAUUUUAAAGACAAAGAUUGAUCUUACAUGUUACUAUUAAAAAAAACACGAUAAUUUUGUUCUACAUUUAUACUUUUAAUUUUUCUGUGGAUAAUAAGAAAUGCCAAGAGUCGAUUGUGUCCAUGCUGGCAAGUGGCCUAAUAAAUUGUCCUUUUAUUUGGUGGUCCUCAGAGUGGCAGUUAACAUCUUGCUAUUCUGCCUUGUGGACUUGAGGUGGAAAGGUUCAUGGCAUUAUAUCCUUGCUUUUGGAUGUGCAAACUGAGGCUCAGAGAGUUUAAGACACAUAGUCACUUUCACCAAUUAAAUGAUGAAGCUGCCAUGUAAACGUAUUUCAUCACACUCCCGAGACCUUCUUCUCCAGUAGUGUUUUCAAGCUUUUUGAGCAUGCAGACACUACCAUCAAAAAAUUAUGUAGAGACAUACUUGAGAGUUACAGUUUAAAGAAAAACAAGGUGUAAUUAUUUGGUUAUUAGUAGCAUUUACAUAUGCUUGAAAACUUCUGCUAUAUAUACAGUAAGAUUAAUUUAUUCUAACAAUGAUCUUGAUAAUCCCCCUGAUUCCCAGACUCCUUGGAAUAGCUCCACAGCUAUCAGUGGUUCUGCCACAGGUUCAGAGCCUUCCCAGUACUGCCUUCUUAUUUGAGAGGUGUGCUAAGAGCUAUAAAGCAGAGGCUUCAAUUGUACACAAUUUGGAAGUUUAGGCAAAAGUCAUUUCUUCCCUAUAUUUUGUCAUGCUUAUCUCCUGUCUCUUUCUGUUUUACAGAUUAGCAAUAAACUCCUUAAAACCCAAAGGUUUGGGCUUCUGUUCCUUUCACUUGCAGUCAGACAUGGAGUUAGUGGUAGAAGAAACAGAAGGGGUAACCUGCAUGGUGACAGCUACUGAGGGGAUGGAUAGGAAAGCAGGCUGAGUCCCUGGGGCCAGUGGUUACCAAAGCCAAGGAGAGAGCAAGGGGAGCCCAGUGGGCCUGGCCAUGGACUGCUCUGGAAUUCCGAGUGUGAACUUUCAGCCAAGAAGGUAGUGUGAAAAUAUUACUGUGAGGUUUUAAAAGUACACAAAUAACAAUUGUUUUUUGUAAAAAGAAAAAAAAAAAGUUAGAAAAAGAGAUAUGCCAAAAAGAAGAAAGUAAAAAAUACAUGACUUCUGUCUUCUGUUAACAUAUUAAAAUUUAUUCUUUUAGAUUUUUAUGUGUCUAUAUACAUGUAAAAUAUAUAUGCAUCCCCAAAUUGUAUUAUACUCUUUUGAGACCUCACAUUUUUUUUCACCCAAGAAUAUAACAUUAAUUUCUUUCCUUUAGAAAAGACAUGAGACUAAAGAAUGUUUAUUGAGUUGAGAGUUUCCCAGUCAAGGAGUAUGACUCUGUAUAAUAAUAAAUCUAAUGUUUUAUUUGAAAUUAUAAUAAAAUUAGAAAUUUAAUAUUUGGCAGGAUGUGAGUUGCCUGCAUAUGUACACCCUUUAUUAUAUGACUAGACACUCUUUUGUGUGGUCAUGGAUAUAUUGGCAUCUUUUGAAGUGUAUCCUUUUUGUUUCAGGAGCUUCUGUCUAGAUGAAUAGCAAGUGUGACACUGAUAAUAGUAAUCGAAUAUUCCUCCAAGUACAGGCUCCUUCCUCUUUCUCCUGGACCUUUGCACAUGCUGCCUGGAAAACUCACCCACAACCUACUUUCCAUCCUCUCCUUCGGCUCAUCCCUGCUCAGCCCUCUUUGUUGAGAUAUUUGCCAAGCCAGAUUCUCUGAGAAGCAUUUCCUGGCAUCUUCGUCUAUAUAAUUCUGCUAGUUGUUUCUAAAACUAUGUUGUUAGUGUGUAUUGUAAUCACCUAUUUAUGUCUGUUUGACUGUGAGCCUCUUGGAGAUGGGAAUUCUCUCCUAUGCAUUGCGGUUUCCCCAGCCCCUAGCACACUGUCUAGCCCAGUAUUCCUUCUCAGUAAGUAGGUGUUGAAUGACUUACAAAAUGAAUGCUAAAAGACCUGGUAGACAAGAAGGAAUUUCUUAGCCUAAAUGACCAGAUGUGGAGAAGAUACUCAAACACUUCAGGGUCCCCAAUCUGGUGAUGUCACUUGCAGUGGAAUUUCAUAUGAAUCCAGUGUGACAGAAGUUGCCUAGUCAAGUUGUAAGUCCCCUUCUCUGGGUCACAUGUUCAAAUACUUUUAGGGGACAGAUAAUGCAAUAUUUAAGAUACAGGAAGUGAUGAGGACUGUGGCACACUGGAGAGUUUGGACUCCAAGAGUAAUUAAUUCAGUUGAAAAAAUCAACAGCACUCUGUUGAUCAAGCAAACUUUCUAGGGGCCCUAAUCCACCUGGGCCUGCAGUAUGUAAUUCCAUAACUCAUGGGAUGCCAUCAAGAGAGACAAUCUACUUGAUUGCUAAAGGGCCUUUGUUUUCUUUGGAGUUCCCCAGGAAGGAGAAAUGUAUGUGUGUGCAGGGGUGAGGAGGGGGGAGAGUGAAGAAACAAUACUAUCCCCUUAAAAAGGUUUGUCAGUUUUCAUUAUGAAAGAAGAUCAAACGUGCCCACUCCAGAAAUCUUGGCAUAUGCAGUUAUUUUGAAGCCAUUCAGCGUUCUUCAAGAUGUCACAAUGAAACGAGUGAUGAUUUUUUAAAUAAAAAAUUAAAUUAACAUGUUUCUCUUGGC
rnacentral:lncRNA from 1 species